rnacentral:lncRNA from 1 species
UGCGACUGGUUUCCCAGGUUUCACUGGGUUUAAGGGAUCUCCUGGUGCACCAGGAACUAAUGGGGCUCUGGGUCGGCCUGGUCCGGUUGGACCUAAAGGUGAAGUGGGACCAAAGGGAGAGAAGGGAAGGAGAGGCAGAGGAAAGGCCUGUCAACGGGGACCUCCUGGAAUUCCUGGCCUCGGAGGCCUGGAUGGGGAAGUGGGAACCUCAGGCAUGAAAGGAGAAAAAGGGGAGACUGGACUCAGUGUGGAGGAAGUGAAGGAUCUUGUGACAAAGGAGGUGGUUGAGAAGUGUGGAAAGGAAAUACUCCUGAUGGUGAACACCAAUGAUCCAGAUGAAGAGAGUAUCCUAAGGGAAGAGAGAAGAACAGAUUCUGCCUCUCCGUUCUUGCUCACCCACCCCAAAGUGUGGGAUGAAGAGUCAGAGGACGAGACCACUUCAGUUCAUCCUGCUGUUUCAGAGUCUGAGCCAACAUUAGCAUAUGGC